UUUCGGAUGUUCUGUCAUUAAAAGUAUUUUAGGGCUCUUACACUUGUUCAGGGAAGAUAUGGGUUACAAAACUUUAAAGGCCUCCAAGGAGAGUCAGUCCCCAUCAUGUAUCUCGAAUGUGCUAAUAGACAAAAAACCUGCUAAAGAGUAGGUUCAGAACUAUGAAGAAUGUUGAACAAGUAACUCCUCCCAGGUAGCCAAGUUGAAAUCAAGGAUAUGUUCUUAAUGCUGGAAUAGGGGGAACUAAAAAUUCCUGCCAGAAGUUUUUUGUAACUACUAUAGACCAGUGCCUUCUGUGUGUCUCUGCUAUACCUUAUACCAGAUGUCGUUUUUAUUACAAGUUUAUCCUUGUUUCAUCAUAGUAUGUUGGGCCAGGUGGCAGUAAAGACAUUUCUGUAACUGUGUUGUUUGUGCAAGUAUCACUGAAGAUCAAGGAGCCAUAUCCAGAGCUGAUGGAAAGAACCAUGCCAUCAUUCAGAGAUCUUGCACUUGAAGCUGUUUGCAGUAACUGGAUAGAACUUUGGGUUGUCUCCCUUGAAAAAAGAAAAAGAAAGAAAGAAAUGUGUUCCAGUUGUGGUAGAGGAUACUUGGUAACCAGAAAGAUGUACUGUGUCAAACCUAAGUGCUCACUUCGUCUACUUCUUUUCCUUAGGUACCUGGCUAACUUCCAUUUGCCAGCCUCCUUGAAGUGAGGCAAAUGUUAGCCAAUGGAAUGUGGGUAAAAAUUAUUACAUGAUGUUCACCUCCCCACAAAAUGUUCCAGGCAGUCUUCCACAUUUCUUCCCUUGUUUUCCAGCAAGGUGCUGACAUCUUGGGCACCCUUGCAGGAUCGCUUUUGAAGAUGAAGUUUCCAUCAGCCAGGGUCUUUGCAUGACUGCAUGGAAGAGAUAACCUGAACUUCAUCCAGCCACCUAUUGAACUUCACAUGAGCAAGAAGUGAGGAUGAAUGUAUGCCUCAAUGAAUGAAUACCACAUCACUCGAGUUGCUAAGAUAUUCACUUCAAUGAGGAAAUGAGUGCCUUCUACCGGCCUGGAGGAGGAGAAUUCCAAUAAGGACCACCUGAAAAAGGAAAAAACAACUCACAAGUACCCAGGAGGCCCGUCCACUUACUGGUGACAGGAGGCCCGCCCACUUACUGGUGACAGGAGGCCCAUCCACUUACUGGUGACAGCUGUGCCACUCCCAGGAGUAUCUUGGUCGGCUUGGUAAGAAAUCUGACGUCCCUUGGUUUUUCACUCUUUGGGGGAAUCGCAGCAACACCCUGUGGUCAUAAUCUCUGACAUCUGCCCGGUAUGCUGAGCUGUGAUUUUGAAAAAGGAAGCACUUUAAUUUCCACAGGAUAUUAACUCAAGACAAAGUACAAGCAAAACCUUUCCAGUUUAUAAUGGCGACUGCCUCCCACCCCCCACUAGACUAUCAGUUGCAAAAGCCCAGCGCAUUUUGCUUAUUUUGUUUACUGCUGAAUCCCCGGGUCCCAGAAUGGUGCCUGGCAAGUGGCCCGAUCUCAGUUGUGAAUGUUUGUGGAAUGAGUAAAUGCAUGACAACUAGGGACAUCUGCAGUUAAAAAGUGAAAAAAAAAGUAACAAAAUCAGCAUUAAAUGUGUAUGCGCGAUCAGUAAAUUCUGUAUUUGUAAUCAGUUCUUGUUGAACCACAUGAAUCAGUAGAAAUGAUUGCAAAUUAAAAAAAAAAGAAAGAAAAAAAAAGAAAAAAGUAUGCCCUUAUUAAGAACUUUGAAUUUUGGGGUACCUGGGUGGCUAAGUAGGUUAAGCGUCCCGACUUUUGGUUUCUGCUCAGCUCGUGAUCUCAUGGUUCUUAAGUUCAAGCCCCACAUUGGUCUCUAUGCUGACCCCACCGAGCCUGCUUGGGAUUUUCUCUCUCCCUCUCUCUCUACCCCUCCCCUGCUUGUUCUCUUUCUCAAAAUAAAUAAA